rnacentral:lncRNA from 1 species
AGAGUUCACAGCGCUACUAAUUUUUUCUACAAGCCAGCAGGUUUUGAUUUAAUAAGGAGUAAUAGUGUUUUCCAAUGUGGAUUUAUUCCAGGGUAAUCCAAUGGCUUUUCAAAAUGGAAUGGCGCUAUUUCCAUAAGGCUCGGAUACGGCAUGGCUUCCUGCCUUCCUGUUGGCUGGAAUCCUGCUGCUCUGCGCCGCAGACCUCGUAUCGUUUGCCAGCUCAGAGGCAGAUUUUGGAAGCCAGAAGAAAUGAGUUCUCUUCCCGCUGCUGUCGUGACGUGACAAGCACAAGCAGUCACCGAGGACCCCGUCGCUUGACUGGCGUGAAACUUCGUGGAGGCUCUCCAUCUCCCGUGCAGCCGGCACACCGGCGCGGGUCUCUUGCUGGAGGAGAUCAAGCAGCUGAUCUGCCAGCGCUAGAGAUUCCCCUUCCGGAUACAGGGACGCCCAAGGUGCUGCCAGAGUAGAGCACAUCUCAGCCAGAACGUUCACUACAACUUCCAAAGGCUCCACUGCCUCCCCCUGCGUAUCCUGCGCAGUCAGGAGAGAUGUUGUCUCUACCAGACAUGUAAGCUCAUCCCUCUCACAGCAUCGAGGACUUAUUUCGGGAAGCUUCGCCGUGCCCGUCUCCUCCACAUGCUCAGCAGAAAGGUAGGUCUCCAUCUCCUCUGCCACCUGCACGGCGCAUAGUGGCAAGUCC